rnacentral:snRNA from 1 species
GUGCUCACUUGGGCAGCGCAUAUACUAAAAUUGGAACCAUACAGAGAAGAUUAGCAUGGCUCCUGCGCAAGGAUGACAUGAAAAUUCAUGAAGUGUUCCAUAUUAAA